GGGGGUAUUAGCUUAUUUAUCUCCCCUAAACUCACAGUUUGAUAGGCUUUAUUAAUAAUACUCCAGGCCCGCAUUAAUCUCUAAACCCGCUGAAAAACAUUGUUCCUCUUAGAAACCACAUCCGGCCCUCACCCCCUGAUCAGUAAUAUUGCAUGAACAGUGUUUGAGAUUACAAAUUAUGUUUACAAUUUUAUCCCUCAAUUUACUUCAAAAUAUGAAUUCUUCAGUCCUUUGAUGAGAUUUUCGUCAAAUCCCCUUGAAGGGGCCGGUGCAAGCUUACCGACAGGAGAGGUAAGGGUGGGUGGUUCGGCCGCAAUUUUUGGGAGGAGGGGCCGAUGCAAGCUUACAGGAGGAGAUGCAAGCUGCUCGCGACGGCGACAAGGAGACGGGGCGUGAUUUUAUUUUGGGUGAGGGCGACGGAAAACAUGAAUUUUGGUUGGGGGUAUGGCAGCGUUAUAGGGAAGAAGGCUGCGAAAUUUUUUUUGGCAGAGAAAAGAUGGGGGAGGCGUAACUUGCCUGGGGAAGAAGGAAGAAAGAGGUGGGGUAGAAGGGGGUGGGCUGGGCGAGAGGGGGGAAGGUGUCUGCAGUCUGCUGCACAAGGGGUGGGGGUUACGUGUUCAAUCACUAGUUUUUUUCCUUUUUCCCCCAAUUAUGCUUAGGAUAAUUUUGUCAUUUUCUUGUAUUAAUAGAGGGUGUUCAUGUAAUUUCAACAUCUAAUAUAUCUGUUAAAUUAUUUUA